UUGCAUGUUGGGAAUUCUUUCUGUGGUUCUUGCUUCAUUAUGAGCAGGACCAGUAUCUGCAAUAUGCUAUAUUGAAUAAAGGCAUUUUCAGGGCUUCUGGCCUUUCUAUGAAGAUUAAGUGAUAGUCUAUUUCUCCUACAUAA